UGCCCCGCUAAGGCGCCGCUGGGAGCUGCUCCGUGCGCCAGCCCCUUCCCCAGGGCCCAGCUGAGCGCGGAUAGUGCCUUGCUCGCCUAACGCGGCGAUCUCAGCGCGCACAGGUGGGGUUCGUCACCAUGGAUCCCUCACAAUGCUGACCGGGAGCCCGCAGUCGGAGUUUCCAAGGUUUCGCGUGGGAGAGGCACUCACUGGCCGAGCUUGAAAUGCUGAGAGAGCGGAAUAAAACUCCUUGCAGACUGAACAGAAACCUGAGCUGGUCUAUGCUGGAAAGCUGUGUCGUGUCCAACAGACCUGAUUCAAGAGACCACAGCUGAACCCCUGGAAAGAUUAGAACAUGAGAGCUGCUCAAUCAGCCUCCUCAUCAUUGCAGCACUAGUAGAAGAGACAACAAAAGGAGACUGGCAGUUUGUUAGUUGAAGAUGCAAUGCAACACAUCGGUGUUAACACACUGUUGAGAAGAGCAGCACCUGAAAAAUACCAGGAGAUCCCAAUACUUGAGUUGGUCAUUCAUAAGGAAGAGUUCUUUGAUGCUAUUUUAUGUGGUAUCCUUCUGUCCUCUACCUUUAAUAUAAUGUCAGUGGAUAGAUAUGACAGCUGAAAUGUGAAUGUUUUUUUCUGAGGAAAUUUAACAACAAAAAAAGAAUGAUGGGCUUCCAAAGACUGCCAAUGAGCAAAGAAUCUACUGGUGGUUGAAAACACAAGAAUAAAAGCAUACAGAAAGAGGACCUUAAGAAAAAAACAAUCCAGCAAGACUUUCAAAAGACAGAAUUAGUGACAUCAUUAGUGAUAUUACUGGAACCCAUCUGCAGCCAGAAUCUACUCCACUCCUCCACCCAACUGCCCAAAGCUGGAUGGUGAGCAAGACAUUCCAACCAGCCAGUGUGAAAUCUUCACCCUCUCUAGUCUCCAGUCCAUCCAGCACCUCACUUUCGAUGGGUUUGGUGGAGGAAAAGAAAAAUAAAAUACAUCUGGCCAGUUUUGCCCAGGCAAGUGAGGGGCCAAGGUAGAGAAAACUUCCUAACAUCUUCAGAAAAUAAUCUGAGUCCUGAGAGAUGACAUUUAAUUACACACAUUAGUGUAAUACAGAACUACAAGUACUAUGAGCAAAGUAAGGACUAUGAGCACAAUUCUGCUCACUGUACCACAAUCCACAAAGAAAAGAAACUCUUCAUGGAUUCAUGGUUCUGGAAAUCAAAAGGAACUACAAUGUCUGCAGCCCAUAAUCUUAGUACAGGGGCUAUAAAUUUCUUCCAGAUGAUUUAAGCAUACUUUGUAAAAAAAAAUAAAAUAAAAAUCAACUCUUACUUUAAAAAAGCAAAGUUAUAGUGAUCCACCACUUCCCUGUGAAAGCACCCUACUGUUUAAUUAUUCCCACAGAUUGCAAUUUAUUUCAAGGUUAAAUAUAUCUCACUCUGCUUUUGCAAUAUCAUCAAAUGUGAAGACCCAUCACAAAGAAUUAUAGUGACAUCUAUGUCAAAAAGCACAGAACCCAUCUUUCCGCUAAACUUGCUAAGCACAAAGCUGGAUAAUCCUGCUAUGUGAUUUUCUAAUGUUAUCUGGAGAUACUCACGCUCCCUUUAAUUACAUUAUUUUACUUCCAGAGUCACUGUAAGGUGAUCAUCAGGGAGGCAAGAGGAAGCAGAAGGCCCUGUUAUGUGCCAGAGAGAAUGAAGGGCAUGCUGUAAACAGUAUCUAUGUGCCAAAUGCUACUGAAUCUUUCAACAGAUCAUUGAGCAGUCAACAGCUCUGGUCUGGAAAUACACUGACUGUUUGUAGAGAAAAGUCCACAACCAAACUGGUCCUUUGGAUAUCUGGCUGCUAUGAUUUUGGAAAAAAAAAAAAUAUCUCACAGCAUUAGUACAUUUAUAUACAUAAGGGAAGCAAAUUAUCUGCUGAAAUUCAUGACACUACACAUUAAAUUUAAAAACUAAAGCUUUUUACACAUAAGUUCCUCCAAAACAUUUUGUCCUCUAACAUCAACAGCAACAGAAGAAGCUGGUGGCUGGUGUGAGAAUCUUAAUUGAAGUGACAGCAAGACUUUGCCAGUUAAGUAUAUUUUUAUGUCAAGAAGAAAAAAUAGAAAAUGUCAAAAUAUACCUAAAAGUAACUACAAGCAUGUAAGCUAAUAAAAUUAGUUUGCCCUUCA